UACCUGUAACGGGUCUCCACCGGAAAGUGUACCGCAUCCCCACCUAGCUUCCUGUCUGUGCUUCAGCAGGAGCCCAGUUCGAGUCUCGUGGUGUCCUUUAAUCCACUCACUUGGGUAACCAGUGAUGCUGGAGGGACCUAAGCAAUGAAUGCAAUUUGACGAGGGAAGAAAUUCUGCAGUCUGGUAUUCACCAUGGGACGGCGGCGCUGGAAUACUCUUAUUGGGGUUGGAAGUUGAGUGGCGGGCUGGUAUAUUAACCGGUAUUU
rnacentral:SRP_RNA from 1 species